rnacentral:rRNA from 1 species
GAUGAACGCUAGCGGGAGGCCUAACACAUGCAAGCCGAGCGGUAUUGUUUCUUCGGAAAUGAGAGAGCGGCGUACGGGUGCGGAACACGUGUGCAACCUGCCUUUAUCUGGGGGAUAGCCUUUCGAAAGGAAGAUUAAUACUCCAUAAUAUAAUGAACGGCAUCGUUUAAUAUUGAAAGCUCCGGCGGAUAGAGAUGGGCACACGCAAGAUUAGCUAGUUGGUGAGGUAACGGCUCACCAAGGCGAUGAUCUUUAGGGGGCCUGAGAGGGUGAUCCCCCACACUGGUACUGAGACACGGACCAGACUCCUACGGGAGGCAGCAGUGAGGAAUAUUGGUCAAUGGGUGCAAGCCUGAACCAGCCAUCCCGCGUGAAGGACGACUGCCCUAUGGGUUGUAAACUUCUUUUGUAUAGGGAUAAACCUACUCUCGUGAGGGUAGCUGAAGGUACUAUACGAAUAAGCACCGGCUAACUCCGUGCCAGCCGCCGCGGUAAAAC